CUACGGGCCGCUGCAGUGAGGAAUAUUGGGCAAUGGGGGGAACCCUGACCCAGCAACGCCGCGUGAGUGAUGAAGCAGAUUUUCUGUGUAAAGCUCUGUUAAUUGGGAAGAAAGGAUUGGUUAGCAGCUAAUUUUGACUGUACCAUUUGAGGAAGCUCCGGCUAACUCCGUGCCAGCAGCCGCGGUAAUACGGGGGGAGCGAGCGUUGUCCGGAAUUAUUGGGCGUAAAGGGCAUGUAGGCGGGCUAUUAAGUCAGUUGUUAAAACUAACAGCUUAACUGUUAUGUGCAAUUGAUACUGGUAGUCUUGAGUAUGAGAGGGGACAGUGGAAUAUCAAGUGUAGCGGUGGAAUGCGUAGAUAUUUGAUAGAACACCUGAGGCGAAGGCGACUGUCUGGCUUUUAACUGACGCUGAGAUGCGAAAGCAUGGGUAGCAAACAGGAUUAGAUACCCUAGUAGUC
rnacentral:rRNA from 1 species